AUGCAGGAGAACUAUGAGAAUGUGACCUUGCUGGGCUCCUUGGAUUUUUGAGUCCCUUGUUCCCGAACUCACAAGACCCCGAUUCUUCUUUUUCACAUUCUGCUUUUCCAGAAUAGUUAGAGUCUGUUGCUCCUGAAUUAUAGCUUCUAAUUUCCCAAUGUUCUCCACACCCAGGGAUUUUCCUGCUCCCUCCCAUUACACUGGACUCACUCAAUUCCCUAGUA